rnacentral:rRNA from 1 species
GGGUGCGGGAGCUUACCAUGCAGUCGAGCGAUGAAGCACCUUCGGGUGUGAAUUAGCGGCGAACGGGUGAGGAACACGUGAGAAAUCUGCCUUCAACUCUGGGAUAACUCCGGGAAACCGGGGCUAAUACCGGAUAUGAGCCUUGAUCGCAUGAUCGGGGCUGGAAAGUUUUUCGGUUGAAGAUGAUCUCGCGGCCUAUCAGCUUGUUGGUGAGGUAAUGGCUCACCAAGGCGACGACGGGUAGCCGGCCUGAGAGGGCGACCGGCCACACUGGGACUGAGACACGGCCCAGACUCCUACGGGAGGCAGCAGUGGGGAAUAUUGGGCAAUGGAGGAAACUCUGACCCAGCGACGCCGCGUGAGGGAUGAAGGCCUUCGGGUUGUAAACCUCUUUCAGUAGGGAAGAAGCGAAAGUGACGGUACCUACAGAAGAAGCACCGGCUAACUAUGUGCCAGCAGCCGCGGUAAUACAUAGGGUGCAAGCGUUGUCCGGAAUUAUUGGGCGUAAAGAGCUCGUAGGUGGUUAGAUACGUCGGACGUGAAAAUCAGGGGCUCAACCCCUGACCUGCGUUCGAUACGGUCUAGCUAGAGUGUGGUAGGGGAGACUGGAAUUCCUGGUGUAGCGGUGGAAUGCGCAGAUAUCAGGAGGAACACCGAUGGCGAAGGCAGGUCUCUGGGCCAUUACUGACACUGAGGAGCGAAAGCGUGGGGAGCGAACAGGAUUAGAUACCCUGGUAGUCCACGCCGUAAACGGUGGGCGCUAGUUGUGCGAACCUUCCACGGUUUGUGCGACGCAGCUAACGCAUUAAGCGCCCCGCCUGGGGAGUACGAUCGCAAGAUUAAAACUCAAAGGAAUUGACGG